rnacentral:lncRNA from 1 species
UUUCAAGUAUCAACCCAUUUAUGAGGUUCAUGGGAGCAAUGAUUUCUCUCUGGUUCUCUCUCUAAACGUCUCUUGCUGCUAGAUCCCUUAUUAUGUUGAUUUCUUGGGCUACAAAAGUUGCUGAAGCACCUAAUACUGAUAUGGAGUUCUGGAAAUCGAUUGUACCUGACCCAUACCCACUUCAAAAAUCCCUAUAUCUCAAGCAUUCGAACUCUCAUUCAGGGUUUUUUUACCCGAGUUACACACAAAUGGAAAACGAGAGCUGAGUCCUACAACAACUAUGGAGUCUUCAUCAUCAUCGGCGGCUGAGUGGAUGUUAAUGAACAACGUCAUGUUUAUAGUAAUUUGAAAGCUUCGGAAGUGGUUAGCAACAAUUCAAUCCAGUCAUGGGUGUCUAAUCACAUUCACGCGGAUCUGUGUUUGAUAAUUAGCAUGGAUUUGUUAUUUGCGGAUCUGAUUCAGUGGGUUCGCACAAAUCAAGAAGGCUUUAUAAAUAGUUUCAGUUACAAUUGGGUAAAGAUUGCAUUGCCUUUAAUCAUCCUUCAUGGUAGACUUGCGUUAAUUCGGGGUAUUUUUUAUAAUUUUACGUACUUAGCAAUAGACGCUAAGUUUCGAGGGAUUUUUCUUCAACCAUUGUUCUGUUUAAUGUGGGUGACAAGUAAGACUCAAAUUGCGUUAAUUCAAGGUAUUUUUUUAUAAUUUUACUCACUAAUGAGAUGUCCCAUACAUGUAUUUAAAUGUUAUCCAAACAAAUGCUUCUCAUCUCUUGCACUAUUUUGCCACUAAUACAAGGCUGCGAAUGUUUUGGGUUUGGGUUAUAAUUGUUCAUAUUAUAUUGCAUUUUAUUGAUUUAGGAUUUUUUUUAUCAAACUACAUUAUUUCAUUUGGUUGUAGAGAAGGCGGCUUCAAAGCAAUCCAAACCACCUCAAUAGAUGAUUUUUAAAGGAUUGGCGGAUAAGUCAAACUGGCUUGGCUUAAACUUUUCUUUAAAAUCAUGUAAAAUAAUUUACAUGUAUUUGAUAUAACAUAUACCGGUAUGUUAUUGCUAAGAGGUAGCUCCUUUUAUCUUUUUGACUAUUCUAAAAAUGUCGGUCUUGGUAAAUCUCAAAUUGAGCCUCAAAUUUACUCUUCAUGUGAACUAAAAAUAUUGCCAGGUCGAUAUCAACUUUGGAAAUUGGUGCACAAUGUCUGCAUCAUCAAUCGUUGGUCUUGCUGAUAGGUCCAACAACAUCUGGUGAUGCCGGUGUGUUUGGGGGUAUCACAGCUGCAACUGGUUCAUAGAAGGUUGGUUCCAACUAAGGGUUUGACUCUGAUGAUGAGGACAGUGUGGUCCAGUGAUGAUGUUGGACCAGAUGGCAUCGAUGAUGGUGUGGGAUGUGAUGACUUAACUCAGGCGAUGGUUUUUCGAGAAAAAUGUGAGAAUCGACUACUUUAUCUUUGUCUCUGGUCCGUACCUGAUAAAAAUGUACAAGAGAUCAAAAUAAGGUAAAAUGUCAGAGUGUGGAUGUAUGGAGAAGAAUAAGGCUGCAUAUAUGUUAGAAGUCUUGGGAAAUCAGAAUGUGCAGGAUGGGAAUAGACAAAGGUGGUGGAUAUCGAAUAGCAAGUUAUGGUUCAGUAUUGCCAAAUAUCAAUGGAAAGCAUAUUACGUUUUGUUUUUGUGCAUUCUUUUCAAAGUUGAAGGUUGAAGCUAAAGAACAACCAAAAUUUUUGCGGAAUAUUUAGUUUACCGUUGUGCUUGAUUUCGCUUUUCUUAAGAGACAGGGGGUAGUGUUUGGUGGUUUGGGCGGGCUCAAUCUAUUUUGGGUGAUAGUUCUCAGUACCAUUUUGAAGACUAUUAAAAUUGUUGAACCAAGACCUUUCGUUUAGUUUGUAUAUAAAAUACUACCUUAUCCUCAGGAACCAAGUCAGAACAGUCUAGGAGGUGAACCAAUUUCUAAUGACUUAAUCUAUCUUCAGAUCGUCGCACAGCAGAUUUUCUGGGAGAUACUUUUUAGAGAACACUUCGCGUAAGGAGGGUUACUACUUAUGUCACAACCGAGCAGAACCCGCAACAAUCCU